ACGGAGGGUGCAAGCGUUAAUCGGAAUUACUGGGCGUAAAGCGUGCGUAGGCGGUGUCGUAAGUCGGAUGUGAAAGCCCUCGGCUCAACCGGGGAACUGCAUUCGAUACUGCAAUGCUUGAGUGCCGGAGAGGGUGGCGGAAUUCCAGGUGUAGCAGUGAAAUGCGUAGAUAUCAGGCGGAACACCAGUGGCGAAGGCGGCCUCCUGGCCGGCAACUGACGCUGAGGCACGAAAGCGUGGGGAUCAAACAG
rnacentral:rRNA from 1 species